rnacentral:tRNA from 1 species
GCACCCGUAGCUCAACUGGAUAGAGCGUUCGGCUACGGACCGAAAGGUUGAGGGUUCGAAUCCUUCCGGGUGUACUA